rnacentral:rRNA from 1 species
GAUGGGUUGUUGCUGGCUUCCAGGAGCAUGUGCACGCCUGUCAUCUUUAUCCAUCCACCUGUGCACCUUUUGUAGUCUUGGAGGUAACAAGUGUGAACGUGUUCGCGCGAGUUUCUCCGAGUCUAUGUAUUUCAUAUACCACACAAAUGUAUUAGACUGUUGUCAUUGGGUCUUAGUACCUAUAAAACACAAUACAACUUUCAGCAACGGAUCUCUUGGCUCUCGCAUCGAUGAAGAACGCAGCGAAAUGCGAUAAGUAAUGUGAAUUGCAGAAUUCAGUGAGUCAUCGAAUCUUUGAACGCACCUUGCGCUCCUUGGUAUUCCGAGGAGCAUGCCUGUUUGAGUGUCAUUUAAUUCUCAACCCCCUCCCAGCUUUUGCUGGGUUGGUGGCUUGGAUGUGGGGGUAUAUUGCGGGCCUUAUCAGAGGUCGGCUCCCCUGAAAUGCAUUAGUGGAACCGUUUGCGGGUCUGUCACUGGUUGUGAUAACUAUCUACGCCAAAGACAACCGCUCUCUAGUAGUUCUGCUCCUAACAGUCCUUUCAGGACAACGUUAUUAUGAAUGCUUGACCUCAAAUCAGGUAGGACUACCCGCUGAACUUAAGCAUAUCAAUAAGCGGAGGAA